rnacentral:rRNA from 1 species
AUACGUAGGGGGCGAGCGUUGUCCGGAAUUAUUGGGCGUAAAGGGCGUGUAGGCGGCCUGUCAAGUCAGCUGUGAAAUCCCCCGGCUCAACUGGGGGUUUGCAGUUGAAACUGGUGGGCUUGAGUGCAGGAGAGGAGGGUGGAAUUCCUGGUGUAGCGGUGAAAUGCGUAGAUAUCAGGAGGAACACCGGUGGCGAAGGCGACCUUCUGGCCUGUUACUGACGCUGAGGCGCGAAAGCUAGGGUAGCGAACAGGAUUAGAUACCCUGGUAGUCCUAGCUGUAAACGCUGGGUACUAGGUGUAGGGGGUUUAGAUACCUUCUGUGCCGUAGUUAACGCAUUAAGUACCCCGCCUGGGGAGUACGAUCGCAAGGUUGAA